rnacentral:rRNA from 1 species
UACGUAGGGGGCUAGCGUUGUCCGGAGUUACUGGGCGUAAAGCGCACGCAGGCGGUCUCUUAAGUUUGGAGUGACAGUUGGUGGCUUAACUGCCAAAGUGCUUCGAAAACUGAGAGACUUGAGGGCUUCAGAGGGACACGGAAUUCCGGGUGGAGUGGUGAAAUGCGUAGAGAUCCGGAGGAACACCAAAGGCGAAGGCAGUGUCCUGGGGAGUACCUGACGCUCAGGUGCGAAAGCCAGGGGAGCGAACGGG